GUAUUUUAUUGCGUUAAACGCGGCAUGCAUUCCAUGAGACUUUGUUACAGUGUGUAUGUAAAGAUGCAGAACCACAGCAGGAGAGGACAGGUCCCCCCCAACCAUAGAACUGCAGAGGGUGCACAGGGUGUGAGUGGAUGUGUUAACAGAGCGUGCACGUGCCCCCAUCUGGGGACCAGCAACAACUCUUGUUGACAAUUCAGUAAUGAUCCUUCCGCAGGUUCACCUACGGAAA
rnacentral:misc_RNA from 1 species